GACGAACGCUGGCGGCGUGCUUAACACAUGCAAGUGGAGCGACGAACCAGGGCUUGCCCUGGGGCAGAGCCGCGAACGGGUGAGUAACACGUGGGUAACGUGCCCCGAUGACUGGGACAACCCGGGGAAACCCGGGCUAAUACCGGAUAUGCCCCCUGACAUCUGUCAGGUGUGUAAAGGAAGCUUCGGCCUCCGCAUCGGGAUCGGCCCGCGGCGCAUUAGCUUGUUGGUGGGGUAAUGGCCUACCAAGGCAGCGAUGCGUAGCUGGUCUGAGAGGACGAUCAGCCACACUGGGACUGAGACACGGCCCAGACUCCUACGGGAGGCAGCAGUGGGGAAUCUUGCACAAUGCGCGAAAGCGUGAUGCAGCAACGCCGCGUGCGGGAAGACGGCCUUCGGGUUGUAAACCGCUUUCAGUUGGGACUAAGGUCGGCGCGUUAAUAGCGGGUCCGACUGACGGUACCUUCACAAGAAGCCCCGGCUAACUACGUGC
rnacentral:rRNA from 1 species